AUACCGGAUAAGAAAGCAGAUCGCAUGAUCAGCUUUUAAAAGGCGGCGUAAGCUGUCGCUAUGGGAUGGCCCCGCGGUGCAUUAGCUAGUUGGUAAGGUAAAGGCUUACCAAGGCGAUGAUGCAUAGCCGAGUUGAGAGACUGAUCGGCCACAUUGGGACUGAGACACGGCCCAAACUCCUACGGGAGGCAGCAGUAGGGAAUCUUCCACAAUGGACGCAAGUCUGAUGGAGCAACGCCGCGUGAGUGAAGAAGGUUUUCGGAUCGUAAAGCUCUGUUGUUGGUGAAGAAGGAUAGAGGUAGUAACUGGCCUUUAUUUGACGGUAAUCAACCAGAAAGUCACGGCUAACUACGUGCCAGCAGCCGCGGUAAUACGUAGGUGGCAAGCGUUGUCCGGAUUUAUUGGGCGUAAAGCGAGCGCAGGCGGAAGAAUAAGUCUGAUGUGAAAGCCCUCGGCUUAACCGAGGAACUGCAUCGGAAACUGUUUUUCUUGAGUGCAGAAGAGGAGAGUGGAACUCCAUGUGUAGCGGUGGAAUGCGUAGAUAUAUGGAAGAACACCAGUGGCGAAGGCGGCUCUCUGGUCUGCAACUGACGCUGAGGCUCGAAAGCAUGGGUAGCGAACAGGAUUAGAUACCCUGGUAGUCCAUGCCGUAAACGAUGAGUGCUAAGUGUUGGGAGGUUUCCGCCUCUCAGUGCUGCAGCUAACGCAU
rnacentral:rRNA from 1 species